GACGAACGCUGGCGGCGUGCCUAAUACAUGCAAGUCGAACGAGAGCAACCGGUGCUUGCACUGGUCAAUCUAGUGGCGAACGGGUGAGUAACACGUGGGUAACCUGCCCAUCAAAGGGGGAUAACAUCCGGAAACGGACGCUAAAACCGCAUAGGUCUUCGAACCGCAUGGUUUGAAGAGGAAAAGAGGCGCAAGCUUCUGCUGAUGGAUGGACCCGCGGUGCAUUAGCUAGUUGGUGAGGUAACGGCUCACCAAGGCCGUGAUGCAUAGCCGACCUGAGAGGGUGAUCGGCCACAUUGGGACUGAGACACGGCCCAAACUCCUACGGGAGGCAGCAGUAGGGAAUCUUCCGCAAUGGACGCAAGUCUGACGGAGCAACGCCGCGUGAGUGAAGAAGGUUUUCGGAUCGUAAAACUCUGUUGUUAGAGAAGAACAAGUGCUAGAGUAACUGUUAGCGCCUUGACGGUAUCUAACCAGAAAGCCACGGCUAACUACGUG
rnacentral:rRNA from 1 species